CCAACGGCCUGCAGCGUCGAGAUCGUCGCCGUGCAGACCGUGCAGUGCGGCUCUGGCGCUCUGCGUUGGCGGGCUGCCGCGAGCUCCCAGUCCCACCGGCCACGAGCUCCCACCGGCUGUUUCCGAGAACCGACAGCCCCUCCCUCGAUCACCUCCCUGCUGCUGGCUGCUGCACACUGCCCCCGCGCUACGGUCCAAUUCGUACCCCCAUCAUAUAUAUCACGCCAGGCCGACCGACCACUGCGACAACUAUCCCACCCUGGCCGUGUCGGUCGUCGCCGUCGACCGUCGUUGAAGCCUUUGUGUGGCCGCACGGCCACACCGAUGCUGCAGAAGGAGCUUCCGCGGUGCGCGUGCGGCGACCGGAGCGCCGCGCCGCCGGCCUUCUCGCUGCUGUUCCCCAAGCCCAUGGGGCUGCCGGCGGAGCAGUGGUACUGCUACCACGAGGAGGGCGGCGCGUCGCCGUACGGCGCAGCCAGCACCCCGAUCGACUGCACGCUGUCGCUCGGCACGCCGUCCACGCGCCGGGCCGAAUCAGCCGGCGUCGGCGUCGCCGCCGCCUUGAUGGAGGAGCCCCGCCAAGGCUCUCCGCCCCGGCGGUGCGCCAACUGCGACACCACGUCGACGCCGCUGUGGCGGAACGGCCCGCGGGGACCCAAGUCGCUGUGCAACGCCUGCGGGAUCCGGUACAAGAAGGAGGAGCGCCGGCGACGUACGAGUGCGGCGGGUACGCUCGACCGCCGCGCGCCGCCGCAGCAGCAGUGGGGAUGCUACGGCCCGGGCGCGGGGAAGUCGGCGGCGUCCUACGGGAUGUACGAUGGCGACGUCGGCGUCGUGGCCGUGGACGGGCCCUGCCUGUCGUGGAUGCUCGAAGUCGUACCCUCCUCGCCGGCGUUCGCCGCCCGGGAGAGGCGCACUCUGUCCCCGUACUACUAGCAGCACUAGGCUACUGACAAGGGAGAUUAGUCUAGUAGCAGUGAUUUUGUUACUACUGCUUACAGUAUGUUUAUUAUAAUUAGCAAUCCGUUCAUCAAUGAGAUGUUCACAAAAAUGCAUCGUGCUACUGUACUGCUAGCCCGACUAGGCGACCACCAACGUGCAAUUUUGGACGCUGAAGUUCGCAUGUCAAAUUGCGUCUUCUUUAUCUACUGGUGUACUGUUGUAGAUUUGAUACAUGAUUUAUACCCUG
rnacentral:misc_RNA from 1 species